UAUAGAAUAAAUAACAUAGAGAUAAAGAGAAGAAUGGGAGUGAGCUCAGACAUAAUAGACUACAUUGAACAAAAGAGAUUAACCUGGUACGGACAUGUCAGAAGAGCAGACCAAAAUCGUGGGAUAAACCGAAUAACAUAGUGAAGAGAGUCAGACCCCGAAGAUCCUUCAGAGAUUAAGUGGACGAAGCAAUGGAGAGAAGAAAUCUACAGGAAGGGAACUGGUAAGACAGAAAGAGCUGGAGAGAACAGUUGAGUGAAGGAAUACAGUGGAGACUGUGGAAAUCCUUAGUAUAUAUAUAGUGACAGUUGUCAAACUGGUCCGAUGUGUCUAAAGGUGGGAAAUAAUGAAUAUAAUGUAAAUUUAUAAGUCUUUAAUACAAGUAAAACUACUUACUUUGCUGUUUUUCCUUUAUAUGUAAGGGUUGAUCCAUGAGAGGUACUGAGUUCCACAAGAGUUGACCCACAAGAGGUACUGGGUCCUGGUAAAGGCUACUGGAAACUGCUGACUGUCCACGUUUUGAAUUUGAUUUCUGCAAAAUUUAAAUACAUUGAAAUAGAUAGGGUUUUAAAACUGUUGACUUGUGGCAUGUUUUUAAAUGUUAUGUUUAUAUGGGAUUAGCCCCAGUUGGUAAUGACAAUUACAUAUUUUUUUAAAAAUACUUAACAUUUUAAUUUCCACUCUGAAAAUUGUUAUCAAAAGAAGAUUCAAAGAAAUUUGUUGAAAAGGUGUGUACAACCAUCAAUUGUUGUUAUUGAGAAACCUCGAUAACAACUGUGGCUAAUCCCAUAUAAACAUAACAUUUAAUUGUAAGAUGUAAAACAUAUUCAGUUGUCAGAUAAAAAGAAAUGAAACUAGUAGAGGUGAGAAAUUUAGUGAUAAAAACCUAUAAAUUUACAUUUUAUUUAUCGUUUCCCAUCUUUAAACGUAUCCGAGAAGUAUGUCACCUAAAAUUGUCACUAUCACAGUGACAGUGACAAGGAGAUGCUGCACAGUAAUAAGGAGAGAUAGAAUAAAUAACAUAGAGAUGCCUAAAGAGAAGAAUGAGAGUGAACUCGGACAUAAUAGACUACAUCGAACCGAAGAGAUUAACCUGGUAUGGACAUGUCAGAAGAGCAGACCAAAAUCGUUGGAUAAACCGAAUAACAGAGUGGAGACCGAUAGGAAAAAGGAAGAGAGUCAGACCCUGAAGAUCCUUCAGAGAUGAAGUGAACAAAGCAAUGGAGAGAAGAAAUCUAUAGGAAGGGGACUGGUAAGAGAGAAAGAGAUGGAGAGAACAGUUGAGUGAAGAAAUACAGUGAAAACUGUGGACAUCCUUAGUAUAUAUACUGUGACAGUUGCCAAACUUGUCCGAUGCGUAUAAAGGUGGGAAAUAAUAAAGAUAAUGUAAAUUUAUAAGUUUUUAACACAAGUAAAACUACUUACUUUGC
rnacentral:lncRNA from 1 species